CUGCAUUCAUCUCCCUCCUAUUGGUAAUCCUCUUCGUCCUCCUCCUCCACAUCUACGCCAAAUGGUACCUCUCCCGCCGCAUGAGGACCACCACUGUCAUCACCUCCUCCCUCACCCUCCAGCCUUCUUCUUCCUCCUCCUCCUCCUCCGUGAUCAACUACCAUUACCAUUUCCGGACCCAUUCCGACUCAGAACAACAACAGCAGGCUGAUCAGACCAGUGCUGCUGGCCUCCAUCCUUCUGUCAUUGCAUCGAUCCCGCUCUUCGUUUACAUCAACAGCCGUCGUCCUAGCAAUGGAGGUAGUGAAAUUAGUUGGCUGCCGGACGGUGAGGAGAGCAAGAAUAAGACGGGUGGUGUUGUGGUGCAGCGGCAUCACCAUCAUCAUAAUCAGUGUGUGAUUUGCUUGAGUGGGUUUGGGGAUGGUGAA
rnacentral:lncRNA from 1 species